rnacentral:rRNA from 1 species
UACGUAGGGGGCAAGCGUUGUCCGGAUUUAUUGGGCGUAAAGAGCGUGUAGGCGGCCAGGUAGGUCCGUUGUGAAAACUCGAGGCUCAACCUCGAGACGCCGAUGGAAACCAUCUGGCUAAAGUCCGGAAGAGGAGAGUGGAAUUCCCGGUGUAGCGGUGAAAUGCGCAGAUAUCGGGAAGAACACCCGUGGCUAAGGCGGCUCUCUAGUACGGUACUGACGCUGAGACGCGAAAGCGUGGGGAGCGAACAGG